rnacentral:lncRNA from 1 species
UGUAAACCAGAGACACCCUGAGGACAUACUAUAAAGCCUAUUCAAACCUCCAGCUCCUCGGUCCGAAUCUAACACUUCACUGGCUUCCACCGCUGGACACUUCAGCUAAGGCGCUGGGCGUGGGCACAGGGAGAGUGUAGAGUUCCAAGGGGAGUCUGUGAAGCUACAUGGUUUCUGUACACAUUCACCCGGACUAGCUCCUGGGCCUCCUGUGACAUCUGUGGUCUCAUGCCGUGGUCAGGACACCCUGGAAGCACUUGGAACAGGAUAUAAAGGCAGCGCUUUCCACCCAGCCUGACAUCCUGCUUCCAGAUGCAAGACUCUGAGCAGGCACAAGGACAUUCCCGAAGCAGCUGGGAGCAGGGAGCUUGAGGUCAAAAUCCAAAGUCUAGUGGCUUCCAGCUUGGCCCUCACUUCGCCCUCCUUCUCCUCUUCUUGGCCCUCAGAUAUUUAGAAUGAUGCAUUACACUCCGUAGUGGUUUGUGUAAGUGUCCC